UACGUAGGGUGCGAGCGUUAAUCGGAAUUACUGGGCGUAAAGCGUGCGCAGGCGGUUUUGUAAGUUAGAGGUGAAAGCCCGGAGCUCAACUCCGGAAUUGCCUUUAAAACUGCAUCGCUAGAAUUGUGGAGAGGUGAGUGGAAUUCCGAGUGUAGAGGUGAAAUUCGUAGAUAUUCGGAAGAACACCAGUGGCGAAGGCGACUCACUGGACACAUAUUGACGCUGAGGUGCGAAAGCGUGGGGAGCAAACAGG
rnacentral:rRNA from 1 species